rnacentral:rRNA from 1 species
UACGGGGGGGGCAAGCGUUGUUCGGAAGUUACUGGGCGUAAAGGGCUCGUGAGGCGGCCCUCUCAGUCGGAUGGUGAAAUCCCCAGGCUUAACCUGGGGAACGGCCAUCCGAUACUGGAGGGGCUUGAAUUCGGGAGAGGGAUGCAGAAUUCCAGGUGUAGCGGGUGAAAUGACGUAGAUAUCUGGAAGGAAUACCGGUGGCGAAGGCGGCGAUCCUGGACCGAGAUUGACACUGAUGAGCGAAAGCUAGGGAGCAAACGGGAGUUAGAAAACC